rnacentral:rRNA from 1 species
CCUACGGGUUGCAGCAGUGGGGAAUAUUGCACAAUGGGCGCAAGCCUGAUGCAGCCAUGCCGCGUGUAUGAAGAAGGCCUUAGGGUUGUAAAGUACUUUCAGUUGGGAGGAAGGCGUUGAUGCUAAUAUCAUCAACGAUUGACGUUACCAACAGAAGAAGCACCGACUAACUCCGUGCCAGCAGCCGCGGUAAUACGGAGGGUGCAAGCGUUAAUCGGAAUUACUGGGCGUAAAGCGCACGCAGGCGGUUGAUUAUGUUAGAUGUGAAGUCCCCGGGCUUAACCUGGGAAUGGCAUCUAAGACUGGUCAGCUAGCGUCUUGUAGAGGGGGGUAGAAUUCCAUGUGUAGCGGUGAAAUGCGUAGAGAUGUGGAGGAAUACCGGUGGCGAGGGCGGCCCCCUGGACAAAGACUGGCGCUCAGGUGCGAAAGCGUGGGGAGCAAACAGGAUUAGAUACCCCAGUAGUC